rnacentral:misc_RNA from 1 species
GCUUCUCUCUCGUCUCCACUAUCUGUGUGGAAGGGAAGGAGCCGAGCAGCCUUCCCCCCCCCACCACCACCACCCACUCCACUAUCCCCCUGCCAAUGCCGAGCCGCCUCCGCUGGCGACAGGGCUAGACACCUGCGACGUGGGGGAGGAGGUCAGAGCGAUGUAUCGCUACGGAUGUCGGUGGCCAUGCUGUGGAUGGCGCGCCGCCGGAGAGACCUGCGACGGUGCACACGCUUGCACCAUACAUAUGAUGGGCAAGGUGCCAAUGUGACUCGAGCACAUCUCACCCGGCCCUCACCACCUACAGAGGCGGGGAGCCUGAGCCGCCCCCGAGGGGGAUGCACCAGGUGGCGGCCUGCGGAGCGGGGGUGGGUGGGUGGUGUUUGAGGCAGAGGCCAUGCUCUCAGACGACUGCGUUGGCACACUGCGCUGAAACGCCUGUGUCUACGGCGGCUUCGCAUCAUGCGGUGGGCCUGUAGCAGGUCGGGGCUUGAGUGUAGUUGACGUCGUAUUCUCUGGCAGAAUGAGCGCUUUCUCAAAGUAAAAAAAAACGGAUUCGCAUCCCCCCUUCUUCCCCACCACCGCUAGGUGCGUGCUUCGAGGUACCACCGUUACGAGAGAGGCGGUGAGUCCGCAAGGGCUGCACACGGUAGCACACAUACGCGCUAUCGGCUCACGCCACCAUCUUGCCAAGGAAGGGAAGGGAAGGGAAAGCGGUGGCCUCUGCCGCGGGGCAGCUGUUAGGCACUGGCGCGUGCCUCCGGUUUUUGCGGUUUGUGUGCGUGCAUCCUCCCAUACACUUUUGUGUUGCCCUCCUGCCUUGUUUUGCAUUCACGCAUCGACCUUCGCGGCUGUGCAG